ACCUUGUCACACGCCUCGAGGAAGGCUU
rnacentral:piRNA from 1 species